AAGGACCGUGAGGACUGGGAGAGGGAACUGGGCGGGGUGUUGGUAUAGGGGCAUGCGCAGUGAGUCCAGAGGCGAAGAGCGCUGUCCUCAGCUGCGGGUUUGUGAAAAAUUGCUCUUUUUUAUACUCGCUGUAUUUUCUUGAACACCUUUCUAUGAGCAUAUAUUGCUUUUAUAAUUUUUAAAAAAUAUCUAGUCAUGUUUUUAGAAGUUUACAUAAACUUAUAUGUGAUUGCUGUCGGAAAUGGAACUAUGAGGAAGUCAGCAAUGGAACAAUAACCAAGACUCAAGACUGGCACAUGGGUCAAUAUGGAUCAACACAAUAACUCUUACAAUGUUAGAGCCCAGAGCUUCUAGAAUCCAGCCUCCUAAAAGUGAAGAUGGGGACAAUUGAGCCUUCAAAAUGAGCAACUUGCCCAAAGGUAUAUGGUGAUCAGAACAGCCAAAGGGACCUCAGGUGACUGCUGGGGACAGAGAGCUCAUGACUCACACCCACCAAGGAUGUCCACAUCUAUGCAGUGUGGACACUUGCCUUCCUGAUGUCGUUGGUUUCCGCCCAGAACCCUCAAGCCCUGCUCACCUUGUCUGUGCUUGCCAACAUCCUCAUGCUGGGGAUCCUCAUCCUCAUCUUGUAGCCCCCCACCCCCUACCCCAGGCAGGUGCCCACCCCAGGCAUUUGCCUUGGCAGAUGUGUGUAUGCAUGUGUUCGCAUGUGUGUUUGUGGAACAAAAGUCUCCAAUACACCCUCCAGACUGUCAACAAUGAUUUCCUCUAGAAAGGGGAUUUCAGGUUGGAAUGGUUUUUUUUAAUGUACGUCUGUACUGUUUGUCAUAUAUACAGGAUUGUCACAGAGAAAGUUUUUCCGCCAUUUUCCUGAUAGACCUUCUCUCUAUUUUUUUGAUGCCCAAACUUCAUAGAAUGAAUAUCUAUCUCCCACUACAGCUUUUCCGUACAAUGUUUAUGUAGGAAACAUUUACAUCCAUGCCCCCGAACUCAAUACAACAGUUUUAACAAAACAGACUUUCAUUGUCUUACAUUCCAGACAUAGUCAAAUGUUAGAAUCCCACACAGCUUGGAAAGGAGAACAAAUGUCCUCAAAGAAGAUGUGGAAGAUGAUACUGUAGACAAGGCAACUUCUUGAAACAGCUACAUUAAUUCGCUCUCCAUAUUACCUUGAAAGCAUCGGUAGCCUAACAUCACAGUUUAUUACUUAUGAAUAGACAUUUUACUGAGUUUUAGUUACAUUUCAAAAAUUGGUUGAGUGA